AAAUUGAAGAGUUUGAUCAUGGCUCAGAUUGAACGCUGGCGGCAGGCCUAACACAUGCAAGUCGAACGGUAACAGGAAGCAGCUUGCUGCUUCGCUGACGAGUGGCGGACGGGUGAGUAAUGUCUGGGAAACUGCCUGAUGGAGGGGGAUAACUACUGGAAACGGUAGCUAAUACCGCAUAAUGUCGCAAGACCAAAGAGGGGGACCUUCGGGCCUCUUGCCAUCGGAUGUGCCCAGAUGGGAUUAGCUUGUUGGUGGGGUAACGGCUCACCAAGGCGACGAUCCCUAGCUGGUCUGAGAGGAUGACCAGCCACACUGGAACUGAGACACGGUCCAGACUCCUACGGGAGGCAGCAGUGGGGAAUAUUGCACAAUGGGCGCAAGCCUGAUGCAGCCAUGCCGCGUGU
rnacentral:rRNA from 1 species